GCCAUGAUAGCUCAGUUGGGAGAGCGUUAGACUGAAGAUCUAAAGGUCGCCGGUUCGAUCCCGUCUCGUGGCA
rnacentral:tRNA from 1 species